AAUCAACGCUGGCGGCGUGCCUAACACAUGCAAGUCGAACGAGAAAGUGGAGCAAUCCAUGAGUAAAGUGGCGACCGGGUGAGUAACACGUGACUAACCUACCUUCAAGUGGGGGAUAACCUCGGGAAACCGGGGCUAAUACCGCAUAAAAUCUUUGGGAUGAGAAGCCGAAGAUCAAAGGAGCAAUUCGCUGGAAGAGGGGGUCGCGGCUGAUUAGCUAGUUGGUGGGGUAAUGGCCCACCAAGGCUUUGAUCGGUAGCCGGCCUGAGAGGGCGCACGGCCACACUGGAACUGAAACACGGUCCAGACUCCUACGGGAGGCAGCAGUGGGGAAUUUUGCGCAAUGGGGGAAACCCUGACGCAGCAACGCCGCGUGGAGGAUGAAGUCCCUUGGGACGUAAACUCCUUUCGACCGGGACGAUAAUGACGGUACCGGUGGAAGAAGCCCCGGCUAACUUCGUGCCAGCCGCCGCCGUAAU
rnacentral:rRNA from 1 species